CUUACAUCAGUCAGAGGCCGUUGUUGUUGAAUUUUAUGAGAAAAUUCACACAAGAAAGAAAUUUGGUGAGACCAGCCAAGACUAGAUUUGCAACGGCUUUUUUAACUUUGCAUAGUUUUUACUUGCAAAAAGGAAAUUUGAGAAAGCUAGUUCUUUCGAAUGAUUGGAAAGAUAAUAAAUAUGCAAAGAAGCUGCGGGGAGAGAGGUUGCCAAAAUUCUUAUUGCUCCAUCAUUCUUGAAUGAUGUCGUUCGGGCUCUUAAAGUUGGUGGUCUUUUGAUUCGGGUGCUCCGUAUGGUGGAUGGGGAGAAAAGACCACCAAUGGGCUAUCUUUAUGAAGCUAUGGAUAGAGCGAAAGAGAGUAUUGCAGCAUCAUUUGAUGGAGAUGUUAGGAAAUAUGAGAAAGUUUUUGAGGGAGAAAAGACCACCAAUGGGCUAUCUUUAUGAAGCUAUGGAUAGAGCGAAAGAGAGUAUUGCAGCAUCAUUUGAUGGAGAUGUUAAGAAAUAUGAGAAAGUUUUUGAGAUGAUUGAUAGCAGGUGGGACAAGCAACUCCAUCUACCUUUGCAUGCAGCAGGCCAUCUUCUUAACCCGAGAUUAUUUUACAAGAACACUAGUCAGGAAACUUUGGCUCCAAAGGUGUGGGUUGGAUACCAUGCAUGUCCUGAGAAGUUGAUCCUUAAUUCAGCGACGAUAGAUCUAAUAGGGGAGGAGUUUUCUAAGUACGAACAAGCAGAUGACCUAUUUGGUUUACCGGCUGCCAUUAGAGCCAGAGACAAAAGGUCGCCAGGUAACUAACUUUAAUAUAGAUUUCCUUAUAACUUUAAUUUAAUUAGUACGAACAAGCAGAUGAC
rnacentral:lncRNA from 1 species